AGUGAACGCUGGCGGUAGGCCUAACACAUGCAAGUCGAACGGCAGCACAGUAAGAGCUUGCUCUUACGGGUGGCGAGUGGCGGACGGGUGAGGAAUACAUCGGAAUCUACUUUUUCGUGGGGAAUAACGUAGGGAAACUUACGCUAAUACCGCAUACGACCUACGGGUGAAAGCAGGGGAUCUUCGGACCUUGCGCGAUUGAAUGAGCCGAUGUCGGAUUAGCUAGUUGGCGGGGUAAAGGCCCACCAAGGCGACGAUCCGUAGCUGGUCUGAGAGGAUGAUCAGCCACACUGGAACUGAGACACGGUCCAGACUCCUACGGGAGGCAGCAGUGGGGAAUAUUGGACAAUGGGCGCAAGCCUGGUCCAGCCAUACCGCGUGGGUGAAGAAGGCCUUCGGGUUGUAAAGCCCUUUUGUUGGGAAAGAAAAGCAGCAGGUUAAUACCCCGCUGUUCUGACGGUACCCAAAGAAUAAGCACCGGCUAACUUCGUG
rnacentral:rRNA from 1 species